GAAUGUCUAUCUACACCAUCUAUAUGUGGUCCAAACUCCACCUGCAUCAACACAAUUGGAGGACACAACUGCUCCUGCUGGAGGGGAUUUACUGCAACCAAUUCAAAUCUGCUUGUCAGCGUUAGUAACCCAUGUACUGAUGUGGAUGAAUGUACUGGGAUUCCUGGAGUGUGUGGACCAAAUUCAAACUGCACCAAUGUUAUAGGAAACUACAGUUGCACAUGCUUGAGUGGAUACAAUGUAACAAAUUCAUUUAUGCCUAUCAAUAUCAGCAACCCAUGCAGAGAUGUGGAUGAAUGUACUGAGAUUCCUGAUGUGUGUGGUCCACAUGCAAACUGCACCAAUGCUGUUGGAAACUACAGCUGCACCUGUCUGAUUGGAUAUAAUGUGACAGAUCAAUACUUUCCCAUCAACAUCAGCAACCCAUGUAGAGAUGUGGAUGAAUGUACUGAGAUUCCUGGAGUGUGUGGUCCAAAUGCAAACUGCACCAA